rnacentral:rRNA from 1 species
UACGUAGGGUGCGAGCGUUAAUCGGAAUUACUGGGCGUAAAGCGUGCGCAGGCGGUUGGUUAAGUCUGAUGUGAAAGCCCCGGGCUCAACCUGGGAAUGGCAUUGGAAACUGGUCAGCUGGAGUGUGGCAGAGGGGGGUGGAAUUCCGCGUUUAGCAGUGAAAUGCGUAGAGAUGCGGAGGAACACCGAUGGCGAAGGCAGCCCCCUGGGCCAACACUGACGCUCAGGCACGAAAGCGUGGGGAGCAAACAGG